CCGGGGCAGCUGGCUGUUCACAUUGCCCCUGAACCUUGAAAUAACACUCCGGACACCGAAGAGACUGCUGAGGCUUCAGGUUCCUGGCACAGAACAGAGUCUCUGGGGAAGCUGGGCUUUACCGAUGAUAUUAACGGCACGACCAUGGAUCAAAGCCACAGCCACGACUGCAUCGUGUUACUUCUGGGCAACAACUCAACAGAUUCAAAUGAAUUGAAGUCCAUGACUGUUCCCCUUCCCUUUGAAGUAUGAUGUCUCUUCGUGUCCAACAUCCCUCCUUCAAGCCACAGAUCCAUAUGAACCAAAUGUCUGUGGAAUAAAAACAUUUGCAGUGAAUAUUAACUCAACAGAAAAUACGUGUUCCAAUUUGCAGUCAAGAUACAUAAGCGGCGUCAGUAAUCAUUGACUAUAAGCCAGCUGUCGAGGUGACCUGAGAUGGCAAAUGCCGCUGGAGAAAAACUCACUACAAGAGGACAAACACAGACACAUUCCGUGGCCCCCAGGGACCAGGGCGCAGGUCCAGCAGAGCUCGGGGCAGUGGGUUAAUGUCCAGACUGUCCAGCCCCGGCCAAGCUCUCGAAGGCCGGUGCUCUGACCUUCCACGGCUCUGUUGAAGAUGUGCUCUCCCGCCCAGGGACGUGGACAAAGCCAAUACGGGAUUAGCUCGGACGGUCCCCACACCCAGGGCUCUCCCUACAACCAAAGGCACAGCUCGGCUUCUGUGCCCCCACUUCUCUUUUUAAGCUUUAAUUUAAAUUCCAGUGAGUUAACAUACCGUGUACUAUCAGUUUCCCCACUUUUCUAUCUGAGAGGGCACCCAAAGCCACUCCUUCCUCAGUCCAUCCAGGUUAGAGCUGCACCAGGCCCAGGAGGCCAUGGGUCUGUGUUAUGCUCCGGCCCCACAGACAGCCUCCACCUGAACACCUCAGUGACCAGGAGCUCCCUGUUCGGGGCAACCGUCUGUCUGAUUUUCACAUCACUCAGAUCGUCGAUCCUUACCGUGAGCUGAAAUUGGCCUCCCUGGUUCAUCACUGGAACUUUAUCACUGGUUCCAGUUCCUUCCUGGGAAGGCAGGCAGUCUUUGCCUUCCUUCACAUGACUGCCUUUCAAAUACAUCACUGCAAGUCUCCGGACGGAACGGCCUAGUUCUUCAACUUUGGGAAUGGUGGUUCUUAAUAAUGCGAAGGCUUUGGACCACAUUCCUUAAUCCCACAAAUCCUGAGGAUCAUUGUCCCAGAAAACUGUGUUGGCAAGUGUGUCUGCACUGCUCCCCUCUGAGUACAUCCGUGGAUCCCUCGAGAACCCAUGGACGGAGGUAGAAAGCUUGUGGUGGAACCCUAAAGGCAGAUGCCAGAGCUGGAGGGAGUGAAGCACCCACCCUCCUGACGUCACAGACAGAGACUGCGAGCGUCUGGACACCCUGGUUUGCACUUGUCUGCACAGACCAGGCAUCUGGCAUCCAGAUAAUAAAGGGUUAACCAGCUGCCCUGGAGUUUCUUCCCAAGGAGGGGGAUGGAUGAGGGCACCCCGAUGGCCCUCUCCACCUCCACCUGAGCCUGCCCCAGGAAGAAGGGGACUUGGAUGCAUGCUGAAUCCCACAGAAUGUGCUGGGCUGACCUCUCCUCCUCCUCCCGUUUGUGCCCCUACCUGAACCAGCUGCAUCCCCAAAUGCUCAUAGUUUGGCCUCUAUUAGCUGCUCUGUGGUUUUCUUCCUUCCUUCCUUCCUUCCUUCCUUCCUUCCUUCCUUCCUUCCUUUUUCUUUCUUUCUUCUUUCUUUCUUUCUUUCUUUCUUU